AUAGACCUUCGGCACAAGAAAAAGUGGAAAGGAAGAAUAGGGGAGAAGAAGAGGAAAGAGGGGGGAGAAAUGCGAUAAGCAAAGAGUAGAAAAAGUAGCUUCAAAUAGUAACUAUCAGGGAGCAACAAUAUCCAGUAAAAAAGGAGAAAAAGUAGCAUCAAAUAGUAACACUCAGGGAGCAAAAAUCCCAGUAGCAAUUUACAAAAACAAAGGACGUGGUUGCAAAGUACCAGAUACAAUAACAAACUAGAAGGAAGUAACUUUCAACCCACAACAAGAAUAUUACUAGUACUUCGGAUGAACCUAUGAAAAACUCGCAACUACCUUUCAACUCACUACCUUAAUUCUCGACCUUCACACCUUCCUAUCGCUAGUCAUGUCCUCGGUUAGGUGAAACACCGACAUGUCCUGCCUAAUCACAUCUCUCCAAUACUUUUUCUAGGCCUACUCCUGCCCUUCCUCAAGCCCCCCAUGGUUAACCUCUGCCCUUCCUCAAGCCCGCCAUGGUUAACCUCUCACACCUCCUGACCGGGGCAUCAAUAUCUCUCCUCUUCACAUGCCCAAAUCAUCGAUGCCUCGAUUCCCAUAACUUGGCUGCCACUCCCAUGCAGCCUCUGCUGAUGUUUGUAAUUUUUUAGCUCGCUUUGGGAACAUCUACGUGAUGACUUCCAGCCAUACUUCUAGAUGUUCAAACUAGCAAACUUUGACAAGCCAACUAUAGCCUCCAUGGGAAGCUUCCUUAUUCACACGGGCAGCCCACAAUGGUUGAACAAGCCAACCAUAGCCUCCAUGGGAAGCUUCCUUAUU
rnacentral:lncRNA from 1 species